CGGGGCGUGGCGCAGUCUGGAAGCGCACCUGAAUGGGGUUCAGGGGGUCGGAGGUUCGAAUCCUCUCGCCCCGACCA
rnacentral:tRNA from 1 species